rnacentral:rRNA from 1 species
AAUGAACGCUGGCGGCGUGCUUAACACAUGCAAGUCGUACGAGAAAGGGUGCCUUCGGGUGCCUGAGUAAAGUGGCGCACGGGUGAGUAACGCGUGGGUAAUCUACCUUUAAGUCUGGAAUAACGUUUCGAAAGGGGCGCUAAUACGGGAUAAGACCACAGGAGCUUCGGUUUCAGGGGUAAAAGGUCCUUUUGGGGAUCGCUUAGAGAUGAGCCUGCGUGACAUUAGAUUGAUGGUGGGGUAAAGGCCUACCAUAUUGUCUACGAUGUCUAGCUGGUCUGAGAGGAUGAUCAGCCACACUGGGACUGGAACACGGCCCAGACUCCUACGGGAGGCAGCAGUGAGGAAUUUUGCGCAAUGGGGGCAACCCUGACGCAGCAACGCCGCGUGAGUGAUGAAGGCCUUUUGGUUGUAAAGCUCUGUCGCCUGGAAAGAAACCACAGAUCAGGAAAUGGGUUUGUGCUGACGGUACCAGGAAAGGAAGGACCGGCUAACUCCGUGCCAGCAGCCGCAGUAAAAC